AUUGAACGCUGGCGGCAGGCCUAACACAUGCAAGUCGAGCGAGCGGCGGACGCGUGAGUAAUGUCUGGGAAACUGCCUGAUGGAGGGGGAUAACUCCUGGAAACGGUAGCUAAUACCGCAUACCCUCAGAUGUGCCCAGAUGGGAUUAGCUCGUAGGUGGGGUAAUGGCUCACCUAGGCGACGAUACCUAGCUGGUCUGAGAGGAUGACCAGCCACACUGGAAUUGAGACACGGUACAGAAGCCUACGGGAGGCAGCAGUGGGGAAUAUUGCACAAUGGGCGCAAGCCUGAUGCAGCCAUGCCGCGUGUGUGAAGAAGGCCUUCGGGUUGUAAAGCACUUUAAGCGAGGAGGCGUUACUCGCAGAAGAAGCACCGGCUAACUCCGUGCCAGCAGCCGCGGUAAUUC
rnacentral:rRNA from 1 species